ensembl:lncRNA
ACCACUGGAGCAAAUGGGAAUAUAAGAGUCAUAUAGACAGCUGGGGAGGAAGCAGUUAGGGAGAAUAAUUAAAAAAAGAAAUACUUACUUUCAGGCCAUUCUCAUUGCCUGUGUGCACAGAGGUCAGUCCCUGGGAACUGCACAGCUGAGCUUACUGUGUAUUUUGGGGUCUAAGUGGAUGCCUAUAUCUUACAGACUCCAGUUCACAGGUAUAAGCCUCUGUAGAAUGGGAUCCAGAUGUGAUCAGGGCAAGAAGGCCCACUUCCCUGUCCUGUAGCUUUGAGAAGGACCAGCCCAGGCUCACCUGGAUGAGUACAUCACCUUGUCUCCUAUUUGUCACAGUGUGUGGGUAGAAUGAAGAGAAUGCAUUACAGUGAGUUGCAGACAUUCAGAAAAACGUCUCACCUAACAAAGCUUGUCAUAAUACAUGAAGUAACCAUGGAAGGAACUAAAUGUAUAGGUAUGGCCCAAAAAUGAUGUGCAUUUUCUCCAAGCUUGUAUUACAGUGGUGAGUAUAUUAUUGAGAUGAGUAUUACUGAGAAGUGUAUUACACAUCUCAGUGAGUGUAAAGUAACAUUGCUGGAAUGGAGUACAUUGACCAAAAUAAGUGAGAUGAGAAUGACUUUUCACACCACCAGAUGGAGAAAUUGCACUGGAAAAAAAUACAUCCACAGCUUCUGAAGCUUUGCAAAAUGAUUCAUUAAUGACAAAAUUGGAGAUACACUAAUUUCUCUGGAAACAUAAGUGUGACAACAAAUCCAAAAGCAGGAUUUAAGACUCAAGGCUCAUACACCCAGGUAUUAAUGAUCAUAUCUCUGCUUUCAUUAUGUGGUGUGUGCAUGACAUGGGUGGUAAGAAGGAAUCAAACAGAUAAUGCAGUCAGGAUGAGAAGGACUCACAGGAUCUCCUGCUCUCCACUAGAGGGGACUUUGUUCUUCCUCUAUAAUAUCUGAGACAACUUUAAAGGCAGUUUGUGCUGGAUGGUUUUUGUCUUAUUUGUGGUGUUAAACUGAGCCUGGCUUUUGUUACGUCUCUUCUUUGAUCUAAAGAAGACUUCCACAGCAUCACUUUGUCUACCUGAGCCAUCUUCUUUUUUCCAGUGUUAUUCUUCCUUUUCUUAAUGGAUGUGACAGUUGGCCUAAAAUCCCACCAAUGAUAUAAAAGUCAUCAGGAAAGCAGUUAUCACCUUCAGGGGAUGAAGGUUGAGCUGGACUGUCCCCAGAAGGCUGCAUGCAGUAAGGAUCAUGAGUGGAUGAGCAAGUCAACAGGAGAGGGCUGGGAAGUUGGAGUUUUGAAUUUCAUCCUGGUUUAUUUCAGAAAGAAAACGCCCAUGGAUAAACUGCAGGCAUUAUUAUUAUUGUUGUUGUUAUUUCCCUCAACUCCCUCCACUGUUUUCACUUUUGAUGUUACUGAUGAAAAGCAUUGUAAAAAAUGAGCAUAGACUUGUUGCCAGGAGAUUGUACAACCACAGUACAUCCAUUGCUAGCCAGUUGCAUGAUAGCCUUUCAACACACAGCUUUCUCUGAAAGAUGGAACCCCCUGGAGUUAUUAAAACAUCCCCAGAGACUCCCAAAGAAAAAUAAUAUUCUUUUUGUUCUCUUUUUGUGUACUUUCUUACACAGUGUGACUCUGAACCAACUCUGGUUUCAUACAGCAGGUGUAAGUAUUAGAGAGGGCUCUGCCCUCUUUGUGCCCAUCUCCCUUUUGAGAUGGAUCAAGGAAGAAAUCUGGAUCAGCAAUGCCACCCUGAUCACUUCAUUAGACCCACGAAGAACAAAUGAGGCCUUCCCUGGCACUGGGAGAUUCCUUCUUCCACCAAGUGACGUGGAGUCCCAAACCUAACACAAAACUCUUUCUCCUUCCAGUGGCCAAAAUGAAGAAACAAGUGAACAAAUGGAUCAACCCCCAAAUACUUCCAGGACUGGAGAUGGAACAUUUCACCUGUAGGUCAUGGUUGAUCUUUAUGUUAUGGGGAUGAUUGGCCUUUUUUUUGUUUGUCUUUUUUUGUGAUAUUUUUUUUUUUUUGGUAGGCUUAAAGAAAAAAUGUUCAUUUUCAGAAAUAAAGAGUUU